CAAAAACAUCGCCAGAUGGUUUAUAUAUUUGGUUGUUUCUGCUCAAUGGUUAGCUAAAUAGCCGCAGUACUCUGACUGUGCAAAGGUAGCAUAAUCAUUUGUCUCAUAAUUGGAGUCUAGUAUGAAGGAAUUAAUGGGUAACUGCUGUCUUUUAUAGUCAAAAGAAAUUAUUGAGUAGGUGAAAAUACCUACACUUAAACAAUAGACGAGAAGACCCUAGAAAUUUAUUUUAAUUUGAUGCUUCUUACUAUAAUUUUGCUGGGGCGGCAGAAUAACAUAUAACUUAUUUUAGUUUAUUGGAACUAUAUAGUGUGUAAAAACAAAUUACUCUAGGGAUAACAGCAUAAUCUAUUAGAGCUUGUGACCUCGAUGUUGGACUAGGGUUUAUAAUGUUUAGAAGAUAUUAUAACGGGCUCUGUUCGAGCGUUUUUCCCCUACGUGAUCU
rnacentral:rRNA from 1 species